rnacentral:lncRNA from 1 species
GGGUUUCAACUCUAGAUUUUGUUAGAAGAAAAUAUAAUAGUGAGUCUUAUCCAAUCUUUCACACCAUUACCUCCUCGUAAAGCUUCAUCUUCUGAUCUGGAGGAGUUCGAGAGAUCCAAAGAAUAGAGCUUGGAUCAGUGAUCCAGAGCCUUCGACGCGAGCUAGCACUCCCAUGAAGGAAGAUCCGAUCAGGGCUUCGAGUGGAUGAUCUGUAGAGGUCAGACGAUCUAUGCAGCUGCUCGACAUCAG